rnacentral:tRNA from 1 species
ACUCUUUUAGUAUAAUUAGUACAGUUGACUUCCAAUCAACUAGAUUCAGAUACACCUGAAAAAGAGUA